rnacentral:rRNA from 1 species
UACGUAGGGUGCAAGCGUUAAUCGGAAUUACUGGGCGUAAAGCGUGCGCAGGCGGCUUGCAAGACAGAUGUGAAAUUCCCGGGCUCAACCUGGGAACUGCAUUUGUGACUGCAUGGCUAGAGUACGGUAGAGGGGGAUGGAAUUCCGCGUGUAGCAGUGAAAUGCGUAGAUAUGCGGAGGAACACCGAUGGCGAAGGCAAUCCCUGGACCUGUACUGACGCUCAUGCACGAAAGCGUGGGGAGCAAACAGGAUUAGAUACCCCGUG